CCCUCCCCCAAGUAGAUAACCUAGCCAGCCGCCACUCUCUCCACUCCACAGCGCCAAAACUCCUCCUCCUACCCUCCUCUGUCCUCUCUGCAUCUGACUCGCCGGACAGCACCGUCACGGCGGCCCUUCCGCAUCGCGCUCCCUCUUCUCGGCGCGGUCCUUUCUCUCCCUCCCUUCCUCGUCACGCUUCCUUCUCGUCGUCGCACACUAACCCUUAGUCAGAGUGCGAGCCCAGACCCCAGAGCUCCCCUCCCUUUCCCCUGCACAGUGCCGUCUCCGAUAUUGCAGCAUCGUAAUCGUCCUCCACUACUCUGCCAUACGUCGCAAUCCAGUCCAGGAGUGUCGUCGUCCUUCUCAGUCUAGUCUCGUCCCAUCUGUAGCAGCCGCCGACCCACCGUGUCUCACUGUCCAGCAUCUCCGUCUUCUAUAAUUUUAUGCAUUCAGUGAAAGAGUUCAUAUGAACAACUUUGGAGAACCUAUCAAACUGCAUGUAUUUUUAAUGUUUAGUGAAUCAUGAUGUUUAUUGUUUAUGUGCUAGAAAUAUCCUUUCUUACUUUCUUAUUGUUUAAAUCUGUAGAAAUUUACAGGAUACAAAAACAAAAAAGAGCAUAUAAAUGGUCAUGAAAGAGAUUUUGUGUUAUGAUGAUUGAUUGGUGCUGCGCCAGUUCCUCUUCCAAAUGAAUCUACAAGCAUCAGAUCUCCGACUGCAUUGCCUGCUGCGCCAGUCCUCGUAGAAACACUGAAAAUUUAUAUUUAUUUUAUCUUGUGUUGACUACUAAAUUUUUAAACUUCUUUAAUUAUCGUUUGUUAAUUUCUUUUAUCGUUGAAUUUUAUUGGAUUAAGACUUUGUUAGUUAUUGUGUAUUGUGUUUGUUGAUUUCAACGAGAUGACUUUGUGAAAUAGUUUGGUAGUAUUUUUUUUGAAUUGAUUGAAAAACCGAACAAACCGAACCAAACCAAACCGAAUUUAAUUGGUUUGGUUUGGUUCGGAUGAUCUCG